AACUUUUGGCAACGGAUCUCUUGGUUCUGGCAUCGAUGAAGAACGCAGCGAAAUGCGAUAAGUAAUGCGAAUUGCAGAAUUUCCGUGAGUCAUCGAAUCUUUGAACGCACAUUGCGCCCACUGGUAUUCCGGUGGGCAUGCCUGUUCGAGCGUCAUUAUCCUCCCUCAAACCCCGUGUUUGGUGUUGGGCCCGCGUUCCUGCGAAGGAACUGGCCUCAAAGACAAUGACGGCGUCCGCGGGACCCUCGGUGCAACGAGCUUUCAGGAGCACGCGCCGAGUUUCAAGGUCCCUCCGGGCCGGUCUAACCCUUUUUUACUUCUAAGGUUGACCUCGGAUCAGGUAGGAAUACCCGCUGAACUUAAGCAUAUCAAUAAGCGGAGGCU
rnacentral:misc_RNA from 1 species